CAUUAACUUCAAUUUUUCGCAAAAUAUCGCAAAAUUUUACUAAAAAAAACUAGAGUCGUAUCUCUGGACCUAUACCACUCGUAAACUGGUGAGUGAAGCGCCUGCGCGGGCAUCGAGUUUACGAACGGAACCGAAAAAUUGCGAAGAUCAACGACCGUAACCGAUUCUCUUAGUAACUCGCAAAGCGCUCGAAGCGGGACGCUUUAGUCAUUUUUUAACGCAUUUUUCGCGGUCCCGUUACCUUUCCUUUCGCUCGCGAUCUCUUCCUCUCUUUCAACCGAAAGAAAACGUUUUCACGAAUCUAAGAACAACUAGGUCACGCGCCAUACAUCUAACGACUUUUUAUCCCGCAACGAUGCGUUUCUUUUCAACGACCAUUGCCGAAAGUGAGUAUCGUGCAUAGAACAGUGGAAGAAAGAUGGCGUCGGGCUAUCUGGAAUGGAAUAUACCGAGGAAACGCAAUAUUCUCUAUUGAAAUUAAUACGACGGUAUUGCCUUACGAAGCAAGCGUCCGAUUAUAAAAAUAUAUGCUGUCGCCAUCGAUUACGUAAACGAUGUUUGUAUCGAAGCUUGAUGUAAUCGGGUCGAUUUCGAACAACCCAAUAGACAAAUGAGGAAUGAUCAUUCGUCGGGAUGAGAAUCAGAAAUUGGAAGACUUGUUUCGUUUAUUAUGGGAGAAUUUCUUAUUUCAACGCUGAUAUAUUAUCUUUGAAAAUUUUGAAACAAAACUGAUACCACGGGAAGAAUGGAUGAAUUAAGAUCCGCAAUAGAGGCAACACGAACCGUGUGCCAUAAAUGUUAACAGGAGAACGAUAACUCUUGCCAGAGAAGAAACACCAGAGAGUCGCGAGUAAUUUUCUACGGGUCAUAAAUUUCCUAACACUGGAUAGUUUACUGGCCGUGACUAAAUUCACCUGUAAUCCCCAAAAGUCCAAAGAAGACAACAAAUAAGAAAUGGGAGCGCAACUUGUUAAACUUGAAAAGGUAGGUAAGUGGGGGAAAGAGGGAGAGGAUAAUAAAGCAAACGUCGUCUCUGCGUCGAGUUAAUAAUAAUGGACAGAGUUGAUUGAUUCAAUGAGUACCACUGUUCUCGGUUAAUUAUCGUGACUCUUGUUAUCCCAUUAUCGUCGUUAGAUAGUAUCGGUAGGGAGGAACAACUCCUUUGCGGGUUGCCGACUGUCGGUUUGCAGGAUGCACGCGUUAGCGGCGGCCGUGCAUUCGCUAUCUUACUACUCGCAGGCUGUGAAACUCGUCCUGGCCCGAAUAAUCGCCGUUUCGGACGAUUGCGUAAAUGAGAGACGAUGAUGAGAACGUUACGCGCGCGUAUACGCGACAUUGUUCAAAUUUCCCGCCAAACGUAAUCAUCGUAAAUUAUUCGCGGUUAAUAAUCUUUCUUUUUUUUUUUUGCGCGCGAAAUUAAUUAAGAUAAACAAUAUAACGAAAUAAUAAAGUUUAAAAUAAUGACAAUCUUAUUAUGACAAGCUGUGUGUAAAUAUAAUUUUAUGUAAUUUUAAAUGAUAAAUAUUAUAACGUCGAAAAUUAA